AGUGAACGCUGGCGGUAGGCCUAACACAUGCAAGUCGAACGGCAGCACAGUAAGAGCUUGCUCUUACGGGUGGCGAGUGGCGGACGGGUGAGGAAUACAUCGGAGUCUACUUUUUCGUGGGGGGUAACGUAGGGAAACUUACGCUAAUACCGCAUACGACAUACGGGUGAAAGCAGGGGGUCUUCGGACCUUGCGCGAUUGAAUGGGGCCAUGUAGGAUUAGCUAGUUGGUGGGGUAAAGGCCCACCAAGGCGACGAUCCGUAGCUGGUCUGAGAGGAUGAUCAGCCACACUGGAACUGAGACACGGUCCAGACUCCUACGGGAGGCAGCAGUGGGGAAUAUUGGACAAAGGGCGAAAGCCUGAUCCAGCCAUACCGCGUGAGUGAAGAAGGCCUUCGGGUUGUAAAGCCCUUUUGUUGGGAAAGAAAAGCAGCAGGUUAAUACCCCGCUGUUCUGACGGUACCCAAAGAAUAAGCACCGGCUAACUUCGUG
rnacentral:rRNA from 1 species